CGUAGGUGCAAGCGUUGUCCGGAAUUAUUGGCGUAAGAGCUCGUAGGCGGUUGUCGCGUCUGCUGUGAAUCCCGAGGCUCAACCUCGGGUCUGCAGUGGGUACGGCAGACUAGAGUGCGGUAAGGAGAUUGGAAUUCCUGGUGUAGCCGGUGGAAUGCGCCAGAUAUCAGGAGGAACACCGAUGGCGAAGGCAGAUCUCUGGGCCGUAACUGACGCUGAGGAGCGAAAGCAUGGGAGCGAACAGGAUU
rnacentral:rRNA from 1 species